CGCGGUCUGUCCGGGCUGGGGCUAGAAGCGCGGAGUCCCAGUCCCCGCCCGCACCGCGGUCCGAGACCCCGGUCCUCCCACGUACGCCCCGCCGCCCGCGGAGACACUUGGCCCACCGGGCCCACUCACCGCCGGUGCUCGGCUGCUCCGGCCCCGUGGGGCGCACGGGGCACGCGGACUACAGCUCGAGGAAUCCGCGGAAUGAGCGCCGCCCGCCGCGCCCGGCCCGGCCCCGCCCUAGCGACACGCCCCCGCGGACACACCCCGCGCAGGUGGGCGGUGCGCAGGUCUGUCCUGGAGCUGUGUCCCUCGCAGCCACAAUCAGGAACGCAGUGCGAACUUAAACAGAGAACCGGCCUCCCGGGCAGCCCGAGCUCCCGAACCUCGGGCGUGGCGAGCGGGAAGGGCCGGGACUCGAACCCCAGCUCGCAGGAGCGCCGGGUGAAGGCGCACGGUGCGGUUUCCAAACUGUAGCCCCGCGCGGCACCGGUGGGCUGGAGCCCCGAGAAGUGGCCCCCGAGAGACACACAGGUCACCCCAAGCGUCGCUGCCCUGGGUGCCUUGGCUAAACUCACCGAUGAGGACCCAGAGGGCCUCCGGGCUUUCCAACGCUAUUUUCCUUAGUUCAUUCGAAGCCUCGGAGGAGGAAAAGAAACUCCGAGGAAGACGGCGGAGGGGUCUGAGGAAAAGAAGGGGACAACCGGGCACACUCCCGGAAGUGUGGCAAGGAGAAGGGGUUUGCAUUCAGGCAGCUGGACCGAAUGCCAGCGCCGCUGCUAUUCAGUGGAGCGCCCUGAGCCGAGCUGUCCCGUCCCUGCGACGGAGAACACUGCCCCCUUGGAGGAGCCGUCGCAGGAGCGGAGGGAGAGGCAGGGGGGUGCGGUGACGAGCUCCACCUCCCUCCUCUCCCCGACCCGAAUCUGGCCCGAUAGGCACUGUGUGAGCAGACGCCCAGCUUCCCUGGGGAGAAGAGCGCUUUGUCCAGGUAACGCCGAGCAUCACCCCGGAAGUCACACGGCUGCGCCUUGACAGAAGUGACCCCGGGUUCACGAAGAGUCGCACACAUCACUGUCUGUCUGAGCUUUACGAUGGUCUUGCCGUGUCUGUGCGGCGAAGUGAUUCCCACUGGGGGUCAGCGGAGGUCCGGGCGCUGCCUCUUUAAUUCCCCUCCCUGCUCUGAGAACUGAACUCUGCCGAUAAAUCUGGGCACCCGGGUGGCCUGGCUGGGACCAGCCUCCGACCAUGCCAGAUCAAUCUGCUUCUUCCUUCGUCGGCCGAGUGUGGCUGCAUCUGAGAUGCGCAGAGAUGUGCACAUACACGUGCACACACACGCACAGGUUCCCGUACAAAAGGUGUAGGAGGCGGAGACAUCACGAAGGAUAACCUAUGCCAUAAUACUCUAUUUGUAACAUUAAAAAUAAAAUGGCCAGGAAUUUAGCUCAGUGGUUCCGCUGCCUGCCUCGUAAGCUCAAAGACUCGAGUGCGAUCCCCAGUACCGAAAGAAAAAAGAAAAAUAUGCCCGCCAUAAAAGUAUAUAAAAAAGAAAAUCAGAAGCCAGGCAUGGAGACAUGGGCCUGUGGUCCAGGCGCUCAGGAGGCUGAGGCAGGACCAGCCUAGGCAACAUAACAAGACUGUGUUUCCAAAAAACAAAAGUCCAGGAAUGAUGAUUUCAGGAUGACUGGUUGGGGAGACACAAGCCUGGAGGACAAUCUGGUUACACAUAGGUCCUGGCUUUGGGAUCAAGGUCCUAAUUUGGGGGUGGUAGUUUCACUACUAAAAUUAUUUAAGUUGUGGUUGCACAACAGCACAAAUGUAUUUAAUGCCACUGAACUGUACAUUUACAAAUGGCUAAAAUGAGCCCAGCAUGGCAAUGUGCACCUGUAGCCCCAUCUUUGCAGGAAGCUGGGGCAGGAGAAUCUCUUGAGCUUAGGAGUUCAGGAACUGCCUGGGCAACAAAUCAAGACCCUGACUCAAAAAAAAAAAAAAAAAAAAACCAAUUGACUAACAUGUGCAAGGCCCUGAGUUCAAUCCAUAGUACCAACAACAACAACCAAGUAAAUUGUAUCUAUUUUGCCAUAAUUUUAAAAAAUGUCUAAGGAACUAAAGAAAAAACAGGGCAAAUCAAAAAAGAAAACAGAUGCUAACAUAACUCAUUAAAUAAAGGUAGACUGUACAUGGACUGCUGGUGAGAAUUUUUUUUUCCCCCUAGAGCCUCACUAAGUGGUUCAGAUUGGCUCUGAAUUCACUAUGUACCCCAGGCUGGCCUUGAAAUCAGGGCAAUCCCCCUGCCUCAGCCUCCCAAGUGCUGGGAUGACAGGUGUUUGUCAGCUCACUUGGCUUGGAGGAUGUAUUCCAAAACAAAGAUUUUAUAAGUGCCCCCAGAGGUUUAUUUCCAAAAUGGUAAUUAAAAUGAACCAAGGAAAUAAAAUAAAAUGAACCAAGG
ensembl:lncRNA